CACGUAGUUAGCCGUGGCUUUCUAUUCCGGUACCGUCACUUCUCUGUAUUAUUCACACAAAGAUCUUUCGUCCCGAUUAACAGAGCUUUACAAUCCGAAGACCUUCAUCACUCACGCGGCGUUGCUCCGUCAGACUUUCGUCCAUUGCGGAAGAUUCCCCACUGCUGCCUCCCGUAGGAGUUUGGGCCGUGUCUCAGUCCCAAUGUGGCCGUUCAUCCUCUCAGACCGGCUACUGAUCAUUGCCUUGGUGGGCCGUUACCCCUCCAACUAGCUAAUCAGACGCAAUCCCCUCCUUCAGCAGUAGCUUAUAAAUAGAGGCCACCUUUCAUUCACAAAUGAUGCCAUUCGUGAAUCGUACGCGGUAUUAGCAACGGUUUCCCGUUGUUAUCCCCCUCUGAAGGGCAGGUUGAUUACGCGUUACUCACCCGUUCGCCACUAACUUCAAGGGAGCAAGCUCCCUGUCCGUCCGUUCGACUUGCAUGUGUUAAGCACGCCGCCAGCGUCGU
rnacentral:rRNA from 1 species